AGAGCCUGCGCUUUUGUUCACCCUAGGGAGGUGCCCGAAUAAGGGCUGGGCAAGACCGGUGCCAGCCGCCGCGGUAAUACCGGCAGCCCGAGUGAUGGCCGAUCUUAUUGGGCCUAAAGCGUCCGUAGCUGGCCGCGCAAGUCCAUCGGGAAAUCCACCCGCCCAACGGGUGGCCGUCCGGUGGAAACUGCACGGCUUGGGACCGGAAGGCGCGACGGGUACGUCCAGGGUAGGAGUGAAAUCCCGUAAUCCUGGACGGACCGCCGAUGGCGAAAGCACGUCGCGAGAACGGAUCCGACAGUGAGGGACGAAAGCUAGGGUCUCGAACCGGAUUAGAUACCCGGGUAGUCCUAGCCGUAAACAAUGCCUGCUAGGUGUGGCUCCCACUACGAGUGGGUGCUGUGCCGUAGGGAAGCCGCUAAGCAGACCGCCUGGAA
rnacentral:rRNA from 1 species